UGUUUAUCAAAAACAUUGUCACUUGAGUUAAAUAUGAGUGAUACAUCCUGCCCAAUGAAAUCUUUCAAUGGCCGCGGUAUCCUGACCGUGCAAAGGUAGCAUAAUCACUUGCCUAUUAAUUGUAGGCUAGAAUGAAAGGAUAAACGAAAUCAUCCCUGUCUCCUCUAAGGACCUAAAACCUAAUCUUCAGGUGAAGAAGCCUGAAUAAUAUUGAAGGACAAGAAGACCCUAUAGAGCUUUAUCUUUAACUUAUAAUUUAAAUAAGUCCUGAUUCGGUUGGGGCGACCUGGGAGAACUAAAAACCUCCUACUAAAAAAGAUCUACCAGUCAUUAUACAGAUCCUUAAUCAAGAUCACAGAAACAAGCUACCUUAGGGAUAACAGGCUAAUUUUCUUUGAGAGCCCUUAUUAACAAGAAAGAUUGGCACCUCGAUGUUGGCUUAGGACCUCUUUAUGAUGCAGCAGUCAUAAACAGAUGGUUUGUUCAACCAUUAAAAUCCUACGUGAUCUGAGUUC
rnacentral:rRNA from 1 species